AGCUCUUAUCUCAAAACUAUUUUCUUUCAUGUUACUAUUUUCUCAAAACUAUUGUAACAAAAAAGUUAAAAGGAACAAAAUUUUCAUCACAAAAUUCCUAAGAGAAAGAUCAUAUCUAAAUUGAUAGAUCCUUGGUUCUUCUAUGUAGUAAGCUCAUGUCAACUUAUCUCUCCCUCUAAUAUCAAUUCCUCCCCCCUCUAAUUAAUAACCACUUCUUCAACAAUACUUACUACUUUUGAUUCCUAAUUCAACGAGGAGCUUUAUUUGGUUCCUAAUUCAACGACUGUAAUUUUUUUGAUUAAUGAGGUCCCUUGGCCGUUGUUGCUUCAAUAAUUGCAAGCCAAGCAAUUAUUUCAGCAUCGUUCUCCAUGGUAUCGCAAGCCUUAAGUAUGGGUUGUUUCCCAAAGCUUAAGGUUAUAUAUACAUACAUCCACAAAACAUGAAGGCCAAAUUUACAUUAUUGUGGUCAAUUACAUGUUUAUGGGUGCAUGUAUUGCGAUUACCUAUAUCUUUCGGCCAUCCGAAAAACUGAGUAAUGCUUAUGGGGUUACAAUAGCCUGUGAUAUGGCUAUUACAACAUUUCUAGUCUCAGUUGUCAUGCUAAUUGUGUGGAAGAAGAGCUUUUGGAUAGUUGCUCUCUUUACUUAAGAAUAUUAUAAAGCAGUUGUAGUCUUGUAGAUGAAGAAAACAGCAACCAAAUUCGUAACAAAACCUUCCAAAAAAGAAAUGAAAUUCUCAUGUUCCCCUAUAACUUUGUUUGUUGGGUCUUUAAUUAGCACCUAUUUAAUGCUCAUAGAAAUAGAAAUCAUUAAUAACUUGUAACUCAAGCAGAGACACAUAGAGAGAGUGUGCUGAGAGAGAGACUUUUGUUGUGUCAUUUUUAUCUUAUACAGUUAAUUAACUUCUCCAAUGUCUAUUGAAAUUAAUUCUAUAAGCAUCGAGAAAGGUGAAAAUGACCACUCCUCCAAGCUGAGAUGGACGACUACACUCUCCUUAGCAUUUCAAAGCACAUUUCCCCAUGGCAUCGAUCACAUGGAUGAUCUCCUAGGUGUAUUGUCCAUGAUCUAUUGGACAAUCUUGUUCAUCCCUGCAUCAAGUAUCUUUGGAUUACAACAUUUCUAGUCUCAGUUGUCAUGCUAAUUGUGUGGAAGAAGAGCUUUUGGAUAGUAGCUCUCUUUGCUUUACUAUUCAGCUUCAUUAAAUUGACUUAUCAUCAUUGAUGGUAAAGUUCACAGAGGGUGGCUUAGUUUCCAGCCUAUUUAUCAGCCCACCUUGCCUUCACUCAGUUGUUGUCUUAGUGCCCGUUUGGGCCUCCUUAAUUUUGUCUUAAAAGUUAUUUUAAGAAUAAAGUUGAAAAUAAAAGCUUUAAACUUA